GUGAGGAAUAUUGGUCAAUGGGCGCAAGCCUGAACCAGCCAUCCCGCGUGAAGGAAGAAGGCGCUAUGCGUCGUAAACUUCUUUUCCAGGGGGAGAAUUUUCCGGUCGUGACCGGAAUUGACGGUACUCUGGGAAUAAGCAUCGGCUAACUCCGUGCCAGCAGCCGCGGUAAUACGGAGGAUGCGAGCGUUAUCCGGAUUUAUUGGGUUUAAAGGGUGCGUAGGCGGAUCAAUAAGUCAGUGGUGAAAUUCUGCAGCUUAACUGUAGACUUGCCAUUGAUACUGUUGGUCUUGAGUAUGGUCAAGGUAGGCGGAAUGUGUAAUGUAGCGGUGAAAUGCUUAGAUAUUACACAGAACACCGAUUGCGAAGGCAGCUUGCUGGGCCAAUACUGACGCUGAUGCACGAAAGCGUGGGGAUCGAACAGGAUUAGAAACCCCGGUAGUCC
rnacentral:rRNA from 1 species